UGGCGAACGGGUGAGUAACACGUGGGUAACCUGCCCAUCAGAAGGGGAUAACACUUGGAAACAGGUGCUAAUACCGUAUAACACUAUUUUCCGCAUGGAAGAAAGUUGAAAGGCGCUUUUGCGUCACUGAUGGAUGGACCCGCGGUGCAUUAGCUAGUUGGUGAGGUAACGGCUCACCAAGGCAACGAUGCAUAGCCGACCUGAGAGGGUGAUCGGCCACACUGGGACUGAGACACGGCCCAGACUCCUACGGGAGGCAGCAGUAGGGAAUCUUCGGCAAUGGACGAAAAGUCUGACCGAGCAAACGCCGCGUGAGUGAAGAAGGUUUUUCGGAUCGUAAAAACUCUGUUGUUA
rnacentral:rRNA from 1 species